UACGUAGGUGGCAAGCGUUGUCCGGAUUUACUGGGCGUAAAGAGCGCGCAGGCGGGCGUACAAGUCGCGUGUGAAAGCCCCCGGCUCAACUGGGGAGGGUCACGCGAUACUGAUCGACUCGAAGGCAGGAGAGGGUAGUGGAAUUCCCGGUGUAGUGGUGAAAUGCGUAGAUAUCGGGAGGAACACCAGUGGCGAAGGCGACUACCUGGCCUGUUCUUGACGCUGAGGCGCGAAAGCUAGGGUAGCAAACGGG
rnacentral:rRNA from 1 species